UCCUAUCCUUUUCAAACUGCCAUUUACA
rnacentral:sRNA from 1 species